UUGGAGUCUGCAGGCUGUGUUGUGAGGAAGAAGGGUCAAAUAUGUGUGUGAGGGACAGAGAGGGUCUGGUGCUCAUGCAAGAGACAGGAAAGUGUUAGCCAGUCCUGCAGGAAUAAGAGAGGAGUCAGAAGGCUGUGUGGAGCUGCCUGUGGGUAGGUUAAAGAGAGAAAGGUAUGAGAGGUUUUAGAUAAUAUGGGACAGACACUUGCAUCAGUCAUGGCUCCACUGUCAACUGGUGCCCUCUAUGAGGACCAAGUGACAAUGAAUGGUGACCCCAAUGUGAUCCUGGGAGAUGACUACAGGCCUAAGAGCAGUGAGACUGUGGGGCCCAGCCAAACUGAGCCAGGCAGAUCAAGAGCCUGAAGAGCCGAAAAGGUGGACCUGAGAGCAAAAGAGGCAGACCUGAGAGCCUAAAAACCCAGAUGAGUUGCAGCCAGGUGAACAUGAGAGCCUAAGAGCAGUGUAGGCAGACCUGAGAGCCCAAGAGUCCAGAUGACUCAUGAGACCCCGACCCCAAGUUACGGCUGCAGUUUGCGGGAUCCUGGAGCGGCACGUGCCAGUGCUCACGGCAGCACGGCGUAGCUGGAAGCAGCGGCUGAGCGCUGAGAGGCUGAGUUGGAGCUGCAGAAAAGGAAUGUAAGAAAAGCUAAAAACUAAUGCAAAAAAAAACCCAAUAAAGGAGGUGACCAUACUAAAAGAGAAGAAACAUCAAGAAAAUGAGUUUAGAACUACACGAGGAGCAGCAUUGAAAAGAUCAAGAGGGAGAGGAACAGCAAGAAGAGAUGUUUCUUCAGUGGAAGAACAGAAAUUGCAGAAGACAAAAGUGAUAAGAAUUUAAAAAUAAACAAGAAAAUUUACUAAAGCAGCAGUGGGAGCUAGAGAGAGAUUAGUUCUGUUAUUCAGUUCAGUGUGUUUAUUUACUGUUGAAACAUGUAUUCUGUUCAAAAGUUAAUAUUCCAUAGGCAUAGAUAUCAAUAGGCAUAAGUGCAAAAGCUAGUAUUUCAUAAAAGAGACUGAUGUUCUAUACUGUUAAAAGCAAAGCAAACGAAGAGAGAGUUCACAAUUAAUGAGAAAGGAACAGAAAAGGUUGUUAUGCCACUGUAAACUUUCUCUGAGUCUACGUUUCAAAUACCAGAGGAAGGAGGAUUUCUCCUCAGGAGAAAUGUCUUUUUGAAACUUUGCUUGGUUGCCACGAGCAGCCUCUGUGCCAGGAGCCUGGCCCAGCUCAGCAGCCCAGCAUCAGCAACAGAAGUUUAAUGACCCUCCUGUGGAUUUGGUGUUGUUUACAUUCGACUCAGUCCCUGAGAAUGUGUUCAAAAAACUUCUCAAGAAUUCCAAAGUUUCUUCAAGUUUUAAUGGGUCUCACAGAGCAACCUGACGGAGAAAGUGUCCCCAGGUUCCAGUUGAAGAAGAACACUGCAGGCAGUGAUGACAGAUGUUUGGUGAUGGUGGGGCCUCACUGAACCAAGGAGUCUCCUGUGACACUGUGCAGACUCAUGGAACAAAGGGUCCAUUUGGACAGAGUGGAACCUCAUGGAACUAAAAUCCAUUUUGGCACUUUGGGGCCACACUGAAGCAAUGGUUCCCUGUGAUACUGCAGUUCCAUGGAGACCACUGUGACAAUGAGAAACCUCUUGGAACCAAGGAGCCAUUUCUGACACAGCAAGGCCUCGUGGAACCAUGGGUCCAUUGUGACACUGCGGAGCCUCACAGAACCAAGGUGACCAUGGUAUAGUACAGAACCUCAUGGAACCAAGGGUGCAUUAUUAAUGUGUGUGGCCCCAUGGAACCAUGAGCCACUGUGACACAGUGUGGCCACAUGGAACCAAGGGGCCAUUGUGACACUGAGGAUCCAAGGAGCCCAUUGUGACUGAGGAACCUCAUGGAACCAAGAAUCAUUGUUACACUGUGGAGCCAAGGGGACCACAGUGACAUUGUGGGGCCUCAUGGAACAAUGGAGACUCUUCUGACACUUUGGGACCCACUGGAACCAAGGGGACAUUAUAGCAUGGCAGAGCCUACAGCAGUGGCUGGAGAAGAGGAUCUUCUGCAAAUCAAUCCUCAGAGCCUGACACAGGGACAAGGGGCUGGGCUGUGUGACCAGGACACCAAGGACCUGCAUUAUCCAGGUCACUGUGGCCUGGCUUGGGUUCCCCAGGGCAGGAAAGAGGUCUGGCAGCUGCAGCAGGGUUAGGGAAGGGCCUCAAGGUGGGGCUGGAGCCCUUUGGCUGUGAGCAGAGGCUGAGGGAGCUGGGCUUGUCCAGCCCCGAGCAGGGAAGGCUGAGGGGCUCCUCAUGCCAGCCUGGCAGUGCCACCGUGGAGAUGAUGGAGAACACAGAGCCAGGCUCUUCACCAGGGGCCUGGUGGGAGACAAAAGACAAUGGAGAGAAGAGGCAAGAGAGGAGCUUCAGCCAGGAGGGGAAGAGAUAAAAUGAAUCAGGCUGGUUUCUUUUUUCCUCAAGACCAAAAGCAGCCUGAUCCCCUUCUCCAUCCAUGACUGGCACCUUUGCAAAUAGGGCACUGUUGGAGCUGUUUUGACCUCCAGUCCAGGCAGAGCAUCCUGAUACAACACCUUGAUUGUUCAUAUCUAUCUGAGCAUCAUCUUUGUUUUAAAACUGGUGUUGCACAGAAAUCCCUUGUGGAUGGGGGAUGGGGUAUGGCGGAUGGACAUGCAGCUGGGACAUUGCACAGAAAGCUGAGGGAAGAAUUGUGAUGGGUAUGAAAUAGCAUCAUGUUCACCUUUUGUAAUCUGGCAAUGAAGAGAAACUUUCCUCAGCUGCUCUGAGUCCCAGGGAUUGGAUGAGGGAAAUGGUGGGGUGGGGGUAGGGACAAAGUGUGAUUGAUUGUCAGCCAUGAAGGGUCUGGAUUUUCAGAUCUAUUUGGAAUGCAUUAGGAGGUGCUGGGGAUCAAUAUCAACUGGAGAUUGCUGAUAUCUAUCUGUAAACAAGAAAAGAAAACUAAAGAGGACAAAACAAUUAUUUCUUCAUUGUUUUAAAUAUAGUAUAUUCACUAUGAA